GACGAACGCUGGCGGCGUGCUUAACACAUGCAAGUCGAACGACGUGGCGAACGGGUGAGUAACGCGUAAUCAACCUGCCCUUCAUAGGGGGACAACAGUUGGAAACGACUGCUAAUACCGCAUACUGAUGGAGGGGAUUGCGUCUGAUUAGCUAGUUGGAGGGGUAACGGCCCACGAAGGCGAUGAUCAGUAGCCGGUCGGGUCGGGUGAGCGGCCACAUUGGGACUGGGACACGGCCCAGGCGCAUACGGGAGGCAGCAGUGGGGAUGAGGAAGAAAUGGAAAAAAGUCUUACGGAGCAACGCCGAGUGAGUGAGGAGGACCUUCGGGUUGUAGGGCGCUGUUAAUCGGGACGCGGUACCGGAAUAGAAAGCCACGGCUAACUACGUGCCAGCAGCCGCGGUAAUAC
rnacentral:rRNA from 1 species